UUGAGUAUCUGAGUUAAAACAACAGCUGCCUUGUUUUACUAGGGCUGUGUCUUUACUGAAAAUAAGUGGUGGGCAGGCAGAGUUGUAAGAAUGUAAUGUAUGAAUGAGUGUGUGACAGGAAACGGAGAAGCUGUCGGCCAGAGCAGUAUUGUGCUGAACCUUGAAGCAUGUUCCUAUAAUUUUUCUUGAGAAUCAUUCAACAUUAUAAUUAAACUGUCCUGUCCAGCCUCAGAAAAGAGAGAGGUUAAUGUGGAGCCCAGACAGCAGUGUGGAAAGGAUUUUAGCUCACAAGAAUGAUAUGCCUUGACUAAAGAAGAAGGGGGCUACUUUUGAUCAUGCUUACUCACCUCCUGGUGUUAGUAGUGGGAGAGGGAGCGCCUCUGCAUGUACACACUUUGACAGAAACUUUGAAGUCUGCCUUUGUCUGUGAAGGGAGAUGUGUCGCUGGAUCUACAAAGCCGAAAUCUGAUUACAAGGUCCAAACAGAAGCCAGACAAGACCCUUCUUUUGAGGUUGUAGCCCAGCUAUGAAGACACAUGAGCUAUGUGUGGUUAGGAUAAGCUUGAGCUGAAUAUUGAUAUUGUGAG